AGAAAUCAGUAGGUGAACCUGCGGAAGGAUCAUUACCG
rnacentral:rRNA from 1 species